CUCAGCUUCUGGCCUCGGGAUUUUGGCUUCUGCUUUGAAAAGCUCCCCCCCACUACUCCCCCCGCCCACUAUCAUAUCCCGCUGCUGAAGGACAGCACAGGAUAAGAGACCACCUCCUUCAGUGAACCCAGAAGUGCCUCCCGUCCUGGUGCUGCCGUGCUUCUGUCCAGCCCCAGCCAUAAACAGUCUUUUCCUGUGGUGUGGGGGUGACGAAAGCCAGAAAUGAAAGGAAUGUUUUCCUAAGACUUGCUAGUUUUAUUUAGCUUGGUUCAAAAUAGACCUCCGACAAGGAUAACAAUAAAUGUCAGCAAGACACUACAUUAAGGCGGACCUGAAGCUCGUUGCUUGUGAUGUAGGAAAAGUUUACCUUGAAACUUUUUGUCCUGAGUUCUUUGAAUUCCAGGAUUUUAAUCCUGUAGUAGAUUCUGCAUAGCAUGUUGGAUGCUUUAAACUUUGUAAUGCUAAGGGUGUUCUCCCUGUAGCCUGCCUUUCCCUUGUAACCACACACCUGGACCAAGUUAUCCUCAGGGCCUUGCACAGAUGCAUUUGGAUGUUUUUUUCUGUCUGAUUUCUCCUAAAGAUUGAUAACUAUGGCAUUUCGGAACAAAGCAACAUCUCUUGAUCUGUUGUUCCUGCAAAGCAAAAUCAUGUACAUCUGUAAAUUGGUGAAUCCUGAUGAUUUUCCUGUUAAAGGCAGCUGAAGAUCUGGUUCUCUGUUUUCUGUGACUACGCUGAGUGGAACCAUAGUUCUGCUUUGAGCCAGGAAGUUACACUGGUUGGGUUGCAGAGGUCCUCUGCAAGCUAUAUGGCUUUAUAAUUCUAUAAAGAAGAAGAUUGCAAAGCUGAGGAACACAGGGAUGCCUAAGAAGAUGGAGAGGACCAGUGGGCAACACAGAGAAAGGAAUAAAAAACCAUACAAUUAAUUA
rnacentral:lncRNA from 1 species